GCCCAACUACGCGAUUGAUAUUAGACAUAUCAUCGCUCCUUUUAUAUAGCCCGUCGUACCUCAACUCAACCUAGUAUUUGGAACAGGUAUAUGCAAUGUAUAUGACCCGCCCAAGACUCAGGUGGGUUGGUUCGGUUUGGGUUAGUACUAUACGACAUAGUCCAAUCUCCUUCUCUAUUGGUUUGAGCUCAUUAAUUGACGAAAUCAAACAUGUUUGAUUAGUUAAAGCUGAUUUAGGGUGAUUCUAAACUAACUUGACUGGUUCAAACCUAUUUGACCUAAUCGAGAUCAAUCAAAUCUAAAUUAGACCGGUUUAGGGUGAUUCCAAACUGGUUCCAUAAGGAUUUGGUAUUGGUUCCGUUAGAUCAUAAUCGAAUUGAGUUUGGUUUAAGUCAAUUGAGCUAUUCCAAUUAGGGUUUUGAUUGAUUGAGGACUAUUGAGAUAUUGAUAUUUAAUGCUUUAAUGAUAUGAUGAAUUUAAAG
rnacentral:lncRNA from 1 species